AUUGAAUUCAUCUCCAAUUUGUAUGCAUCCCUGCUGCACUGGAAUAAUAAAUAGAUAAACUUUAUUGAUUAAUUUUUCCCUCUCUGUUAUUAUUAUUAAGAGCUUGAGGGACAUUCAGAAGAUGGGAUGGGAUGAGAACACGAACAGUGUGUGCGUGACGGACGAGAUGAUGGACACAUUACGCAUCGAAUGAGUUUCUUGGAAUAUGCAGGCAAUAAAUAAUAUCACAACAAUUAGGAUAUAAUAAUUCUAAUAUUUGUUUUCUUCUAAACCACUCAAACGAAGAUGUUAUCACUAAUGACAAAGUUUACCCACGGUAGUAAAUAGUGGUGAUUUUGUUGUAUUUUAUUUAUUUAUUUAUUUAUACAUGCACACGGACAGGGAAGUCUUGUGUCUCAUUAAGUUCAACCAAAUGCAGUCGAGUGUCUGCAGAAACUAAACAAGAUUUGAAGGUGUUUAUGAUGGCAUUGAAAAUGCUACACAUUACUUUGCGUUAGUCAUCGGACAAAAUUAGUAGAAAAUCAUAUCGUAAAGAGAGAGAUAUGGCUUUUGAUUAGAAUUUCUCAAUAAAAACAAGUCUGCAGUUGUGUUGAAUACACGAGUGGAAUUGUGUAGUAGCUCUUUUUCAUUAUUGCCAAGUAUGUAACGUAACAAUAUUGAAUGAUGUAUUAUAUUCCCGAUCAUCGAUGAUGUUGUUCCCCAUGAUAACAAUGCACUUAGGAUUAGAGCACCAAUAUACAUAAAUGGUCCGAUUGCAUGGAUAAGGUGCGAGAUAAGCAGGCCACGAUCAUCAGAGGGCUCAUUCAUACAAUACAGGCAGCCAGUAAUAAUAGGAAAGAACAGAGGUGUGUUGUAAAUACACGCGUACUUUUACAUAAGCAAUAAAAGUUCGAAUUACUGACUGACU